rnacentral:rRNA from 1 species
CCUACGGGUGGCUGCAGUGGGGAAUAUUGGACAAUGGGGGGAACCCUGAUCCAGCCAUGCCGCGUGUGUGAAGAAGGCCCUCGGGUUGUAAAGCACUUUCAGUGAGGAAGAACGCCUGGUGGUUAAUACCCAUCAGGAAAGACAUCACUCACAGAAGAAGCACCGGCUAACUCCGUGCCAGCAGCCGCGGUAAUACGGAGGGUGCGAGCGUUAAUCGGAAUUACUGGGCGUAAAGCGCGCGUAGGUGGCUUGAUAAGCCGGUUGUGAAAGCCCCGGGCUCAACCUGGGAACGGCAUCCGGAACUGUCAAGCUAGAGUGCAGGAGAGGAAGGUAGAAUUCCCGGUGUAGCGGUGAAAUGCGUAGAGAUCGGGAGGAAUACCAGUGGCGAAGGCGGCCUUCUGGACUGACACUGACACUGAGGUGCGAAAGCGUGGGUAGCAAACAGGAUUAAAUACCCGUGUAGUC